GGCUCAUUAAAUCAGUUAUAGUUUACUUGAUCAUAUUUUCUUACUUGGAUAACCGUAGUAAUUCUAGAGCUAAUACAUGCAAAAAAUCUGGACCUCUUUUGAGGAAAAGAUGAAUUUAUUAGAUUAGAACCGACGCAAACUUUUUAAGUUUGAGUUAUGGUGAUUCAUAAUAACUAAUCGAAUCGCAGAGACAUAUUUUUUAAAUUUAUUUAAAAAAGUCGGCGAUGAUACAUACAAAUUUCUGCCCUAUCAACUUUCGAUGGUAAUAUAGAGGAUUACCAUGGUUAUAACGGGUAACGGGGAAUUAGGGUUCGAUUCCGGAGAGGGGGCCUGAGAGAUGGCCACCACUUCCAAGGAAGGCAGCAGGCGCGCAAAUUACCCAAUCUCAAUUCGAGGAGGUAGUGACAAGAAAUACCAGUACAGGGCCCAUCGGGUACUGUGAUUGGAAUGAAUACAAUUUAAAAACCUUAAUGAGGAACGAUUGGAGGGCAAGUCUGGUGCCAGCAGCCGCGGUAAUUCCAGCUCCAAUAGUGUAUAUUAAAGUUGCUGCAGUUAAAAAGCUCGUAGUUGGAUUUCGGUAAAUGAAAAUUAAAAGUCCAUCUUUUAGAUGUGUACUUAAUUUUUAUUUCCUUCUUUUUGAAUUCACUCCUAUUUUAAUAUUUAUAUUAUUUAGGAUCAAAGUGGUUCAAAUCUUUUACUGUGAAAAAAUUAGAGUGUUCAAAGCAGGCGUAACCUAGCCUUUGAAUAUAUUAGCAUGGGAUAAUGAAAUAGGAUUUUGGUCCUACUUUCGUUGGUUUCUAGGGCUAAAAUAAUGAUUAAUAGGGAUAGUUGGGGUCACUAGUAUUUAAUUGUCAGAGGUGAAAUUCUAAGAUUUAUUAAAGACUAACUACUGCGAAAGCAUUUGACAAGGAUGUUUUCAUUAAUCAAGAACGAAAGUUGGGGGAUCGAAGAUGAUCAGAUACCGUCGUAGUCUCAACCAUAAACUAUGCCGACCAAGGAUCCGGGGGUGUUAAAUAUGGAUGACUCUCCGGGCACUUAUAGAGAAAUCAUAAGUAUUUGGGCUCCGGGGGGAGUAUGGUCGCAAGGCUGAAACUUAAAGGAAUUGACGGAAGGGCACCACAAGGAGUGGAACCUGCGGUUUAAUUUGACCCAACACGGGGAAACUUACCAGGUCCAGACACAGUGAGGAUUGACAGAUUGAGAGUUCUUUCUUGAUUCUGUGAGUGGUGGUGCAUGGCCGUUUCUAGUUGGUGGAGUGAUUUGUCUGGUUAAUUCCGUUAACGAACGAGACCUUAACCUAUUAAAUAGUUGCGCGAACCCAGGUUCUUUAACCAUUCCUUCUUUAGGGGGGGCGUGGUAUCAUUGUUUUUCAUGUCACCUUAGGGUGGCAUGUUGGGCAAUGAUAGGGCCUGAGAUGAGUUAGUGAUAUUAGCUUCUUAGAGGGACUACUUGCAUCCUUAGCAAGGGGAGGUUUGAGGCAAAAACAGGUCUGUGAUGCCCUUCGAUGUUCUGGGCUGCACGCGCGUUACACUGGCGCAUGCAAAGAGUGUAAAAUUCCUGUCCCGAUGGGGUUGGGAAAUCUUUUUAAAGUGCGUCGUGAUGGG
rnacentral:rRNA from 1 species